UACGUAGGGUGCAAGCGUUGUCCGGAAUUAUUGGGCGUAAAGAGCUUGUAGGCGGUUUGUCGCGUCUGCUGUGAAAUUUCGGGGCUCAACCCCCGAACUUGCAGUGGGUACGGGCAGACUAGAGUGUGGUAGGGGAGACUGGAAUUCCUGGUGUAGCGGUGAAAUGCGCAGAUAUCAGGAGGAACACCGAUGGCGAAGGCAGGUCUCUGGG
rnacentral:rRNA from 1 species